UAGAACUUUGUUAAUUUCUGAAAUUGCAUUUUCUGAAAAUGGUUUUGAUUUUUAAAGAAUAAUAUACAUGUAAAAUGUGUAUUGGAUUAAACGUGAUAUUGAACGUUACUUUUUCAGCCCAUGCAACGGAAGUUAAACCUGCCAAUCUGCUGGUCCGAAGCCCAGAGAAAAGGAUUUCCAUCAAUUCAGUAAUUUCAAUACCAUCGUUCACAAAGUCAUAACGGACUAUGAAUUGUGCUUGUGAAUUAACUGUCAAAAAGAGGCAUGCCGUCAUUUGCAUUGUGAUAAACGUUCUUUUGACGGCUGCUUUUUUGAUACUUAUAACAAUCUGGGCGUUUGUAAGAGCACCAUUAUCGAUUCCUCAAAGAAGCUCAUCAUGUAUUACUUGUGACAACAUGAUGUCUAAAACUUACAAAACAUCAGGCGCAAGAGUUGAUCAUUCUGCUAUCAAAAUGAGAGAAGAUGGGAUGUGCUGUGGACCCGUCGAAAUUCUUGCUCAGAUUUUGUUACAAAAGGAAAUGGCUGGGCAGUACUACAACUACAGCAAAGUCAGUACAACUCUGCUUGACAUACUAGACGAACCGAUGCUUGCUGACUGUGAAAGAGAACCAAACAACAGACAGCCCGUUUCAAAAGUUGUCGGAAUUAAAGAGUUCAAACCUAGCUACACAGUUGACGGUCAUUCCAGAGUUCUGUGGAAUAAAAACGGGCGGACAUUUUCAGCGAACAAUUGCGUCCACUUAGAACUCGAAGGAGAAAUAUUUGUCCGACAACCUGGCUAUUAUAUCGUUUCUUCGCAACUGAAUCUUAUACGACACAGGGAGAAAGGCACGCCUAGUAAUGAAACCGGACCGACGAUCUUCAAUCAUCAUGUCGAUCUCCUUUCACACCAAUAUGGUACGACGGGUAUCCUCAUGCAAACCAAGAAAUCGAUUGAAAGAAAAGACGGUUACUAUUCAAGUUUCCUAUCAGCGGUUUUCAAGCUAAACAAGUAUGAUAGGCUCUCAGUGUCUGUGUCGAAUCCUAAACUUUUAGAUAUUAACAACCUUAACGAUCAUUUUCUGGUUUACUAUACCUAUGAUCUGCCAUACUAAAAUUGGACUUAACUUAAAAAGCCCUUUUAUUUCAUGUAAACGAAUUCAAAAUAUUUUUUUAAAAAUAUGUGUUAUCAAAAUAGAAAAACAAAUCUUAGUACCAAAACAUAUUGCGGUAUAUAUAGACCGUAAUUUAAUUUUACCCAUGUAAAUAAGCUAAAGCGUUUGUGUCAUUCUUUAAAUGAACAUAUGUAGUGAUUGUGUCACAAUUUAUAUAUAAUGUCUUAUUCCGAUCAUUAGCUGUCCAGUAUGGGCUAAAAUGGGCAAACGCAUAACAGAAAAAUAACUUCACUGCUAAAAAGCUGAUAAAAUAAUUAUACAUAAGUCUAUCGGAACACCAUAAAAAACAUUUAAAGAACAACAAAAAGAUGACCUUAAAAUCGAAUCAAAUAAUCAUAAAUGCAUUUCUGUGUAUAAAACAUUAAACAACCAAUGCCUUCAAAACAUGAAAGGUCUGAUUACUUGCUCGAAUAAGGAAAUGUACAAUUAACGAUUAUCUUCAAAACAAAUAAUGUCCAAAUUAGGUUUGAACAGAACACAUUAUUCUCGUACUAAAUCUGACUCUUCUGAAACAAUUUAUUUGAAGAUGUGUGCCAUGCUUUGACGGUACUAUCUUUUAAAUCAAAAAGCCAAAAUUAUUCACUUAACAUCGAUCUGUUAAUUUAAAAUCUUAGGCACCAGAAGAACAAUAUUGCUACACUUACAAAUAACAUGACAACAUUUUAGACAUCUAUUGAUUAUUACAUGCAUGAGCAUUGACAUAGUGCGCACAGUUUUUCGAGCAAAUAAACACAACAUUUUUCGUCAUUUUCGAAGCACAAGGCAUAUGUUAGAGUAAACCAUAUCAAAAACAUAGUAAUCGCCCUAAUGGCACUCUUAAGCUUUGGCGAAAAGGUUCCAUUUCUCCAUGUGUUGCAAAUACCAAAUGAUUUUCUUUGAAAUAUGGUGUUGGUAUUAAUAUUAUAAAGACAUAGUUACUAAACAUAGAUCAAUAGAUGACUAUGUUCACCGAUUUUUGAAUCCCAAACCAAGUUUUGCCACAAAAAGUAACAGCUUUUUUAAUAAGCAUGCAUGUGUAGGGGCUUGGGAGUCCUAGCCUAGUGCAUACAAACAUACGACUAAUCUGUAAAUGACUGUUUUGCACAUUGUUUUGUACAAAAUAUUUGUUAUUGUGAAAAGUAAUCUAUAUAUAAGAAAUAUUACACACUACUGAGGGCCAUAUGACAUUAUAAGGACUGGCCAGGCAGCCACCGAAUGUGUUGACACCUCGGUCCAUUCACCUUCGGGCGUUGACUGGUAGGUCCUUAUAACGCCAUAUGGCCCGAAGUGGUGUGUAAAUAUUAGAAAUGUUAUACCGAAUAGUUGAUAUUACCAUUCAUUAUUUUUAAUGAACUUACGAUGUCUUGUCUUGAACAUAGUUAAUUAUGUUUACUUGCGAUAAAGUUGGGCUAUUGUGAAAACAGCAAUCCGCACUUACCAGUUGUAUGUCAUCAGCGGUCCAUAUUACAUUUCUGGCGAGGUCUGGACCGGUCAAAAAUGAUAUGGACCGCUGACUUUAUAAAACUAGAUUUUUAACAAAAUACAGAAAUAUACGGACCGAUGGACGUUAUAUAUACAAAGAAGUGACACAUUUAUGUAAGGUAUUAUAUUGCGAUGUAUAUGCUUUGUGAUUGGCUUCCUGGAUAAACUCAGACUUUAAAACAAGGGGUAACUCUAAGAAAAAUACUAAAUAAAAGGUUUGCGAGUGGAUGCUCAUUAGAAGUCACAUGCAUUACAUUGAAAUGUUAACCAUGUUUAAAUCAAUCAAACACGGUCGUAACUUUAAUAUUGAAAUGAUUUAACAAUAUUUAAAUAUCUUGGAGGCGGUAACUUUAAUUUGUAAUAACUUUUCAGUAUUUAUCCAUGUUAAGGGAGGUAACCUUUAUAUGAGAUUUUAUACGAUAUUUUAGUGGUUCAAUGCUUAAAUGCGAUAUCUCUUAGUUGUGGUGUUUUAACGAUACUUAUUAUGUAUCCAAGAUCGAAUGCAAUAUUGUUUUGGUAAUGAUUUAACAAAAUGUUAAAAAAAAUUCUAAGUUUGAAGACGGUAACCUUUAUUUGUGAUGCUUUAAAAAUAUUUAUGAUGUAUCCAAGUUUGGAGGCAGUAACUUUUAAUUAUAAUGUUUUAACGAUAUUUAUAUUGUAUCCAAUUUUGAAGGCGGUAAUUUUUCUGUACGGAACUAAUUUAAAUAACAUUAUCUGGCAAAAUGUUGUGUAAUUAUGUUUAUAAACUUAAUUUUAUGAUUGAACGAUAUAUUGUGUAUCCAAAUUUGAAGGCGUUAACGUAAAUUUGUGGUUAUUUAAUGUAAUUUAUGAUGUUUCCAAGUCUGAAGGCGGAAACUUUUAUUUGUGAUGAUUUAACGAUAUUUAUGGUAUAACUAAGUUUGAAGGCGGAAACUUUUAUUUGUGAUGCUUUAACGAUGUUUUUGGUGCAUCCAAGUGUCAAGGCGGUAACUUUUAUUUGUAGUUAUUUAACGAUAUUUAUGGUGUAUCCAAGUUUGAAGGCGGUUACUUUUAUUAUUUUUUUUGUGAUGAUUUAACGAAAUUUAUGAUGUUUCUAAGUUUGUAGGCGGAAACUGUUUUUUUGUGAUAAUUUUGCGACAUUUAUUAUGUACCCAAGUUUCAAGGCGGUUACAUUUAUUUGUAAUGAUUUAAUGCUAUUUAUUAUUUUAAGGCGGUAACUUUUAUUUGUAAUGACUUAACGAUAUUUAUUGUGUAUCCAAGUUUCCAGGCGGUAACUUUUAUUUGAAAUGAUUUAACGAUAUGUAUUACGCAUCCAAAUUUCAAGGCGGUUACUUUUAUUUGUAAUGAUUGAACGAUAUUUAUUGUUUAUCCAAAUUUCCAGGCGGUAACUUUUAUUUGAAAUGAUUUAACAAUAUGUAUUACGUAUCCAAAUUUCAAGGCGGUAACUUUUAUUUGUAAUGAUUUUACACUAUUUAUUAUGAAUCCAAGUUUAAAGACGGUAACUUUUAGUUGUAAUGAUUUAAUGAUAUUUAUUAUUUCAAGACGGUAACUUUUAUUUGUAAUGAUUGAACGAUGUUUAUUGUGUAUCCAAGUUUCCAGGCGGUAACUUUUAUUUGAAAUGAUUUAACGAUAUGUAUUACGCAUCCAACUUUCAAGGCGGUAACUUUUAUUUGUAAUGAUUGAACGAUGUUUAUUGUGUAUCCAAAUUUCCAGACGGUAACUUUUAUUUGUAAUGAUUGAACGAUGUUUAUUACGUAUCCAAGUUUCAAGGCGUUAACUUUUAUUUGAAAUGAUUUAACGAUAUUUAUUACAUAUCAAAGUUUCAAGGCGGUCAUUGUUAUUUGUAAUGAUUGAACGAUAUUUAUUGUGUAUCCAAAUUUCAAGGUGAUGACUUUUAUUUGUAAGGAUUUAACGAUAUUUAUUGUGUAUCCAAGUUUGAAGGCGGUAACUUUUAUUUGUAAUUAUUUAACGAUAUUAAUUGUGUAUCCAAGUUUCAAGGCGAUAGCAUUUACUAAUAAUGUUUAACGAUAUUUAUGAUGUAUUCGAGGUUAAAGGCGGUAACUUUUAAUAAUAAAUUUUAACGAUAUUUAUGAUGUAUCCGAGGGUGAAGGCGGUAAAUAUUACUCGUUUUUAUUUGUCGAUUUUUAGUUAUCUAUGUUUUAAGCUGUUUCAUCUGUACUUUAGCAAUAUAUUGAAUAUCCAUGUGGUAGCCACCAACAUUGUUUUUGUUUAUCAAUAUCCAUGCUUCAAGGCGGUAAACUUAUUGUUAGCGAUUCCUGUAUAUUCAUAGUGCAUCAACGUUUCAAUGUGUCUGUUUUUAACGAGUUUUCAAUACACACAUCAAUUCAUAGUGUAUCCAUGUUUGAAGGCCGAACUUUUUAUUGUAAACGUUUAAUCGAUAUGUAAAGUUCAUCGACGUUUCAAGGCGGUUUCUUUUAUUGUGAACGAUUUGUAGUGCAUGUAUGUGUCAGGGUAAUAACAUUGACUUAAAGCGAUUUAUCUAUAUUAAUGAAAUGUUUAUUUUUCAAGAUGAUGACUUUUGUUUUAUUAUGUUAUCGAUAUAUACAGUGCAUUCAUGUUUUAAGCCGCUUAUUUCUUAAUUUCUCUUAGUUUAAGAUUAAUCGAUAGUGCCACUGUUAGAAUGGAUAGUAUAUUCAUGUUUCAAGUAUAUAUUUUACGUUUAGCGAAAAAUCUAUACAUAUGUUUAAAUUGUAUAAGCGUAUUUAUCAAUUGUGCUUUGAAUAAUUUAAAUAUAAUCGAAUGUGUAUAUACACGCGUUGACAAUUGUAUAGUAUAAUAUGCUAACUGCUUGUAAGUUUACCGAUGUUAAAUAUGUAUGAAUUUUACAUUUGUUUCACGUGAAGGCUCCACGUACAAUUAUAAAAGGCUAAAAAAAUAGCUCUGUUUUAUUGUAUGGUCAUUUUGUAAAAUAGAAUAUGCGGCUUGAUUAUUUUGAUUCUUUGGUAUUUUCGUCAGGGAAUAAUAGUUUAGGCUUCAUACUAAAUUAUAUACCUUAACAAACAUUUCUGUAAUGUGGAAUACAAGGGAAUGCAUUUUAAAUCCCUCGAAACAACAUCUAAAUUAUGAUUUUGGUAAAACAUUAGCACAUUUAAAAACAAUGUUCAUAUUAUAUAUGGUAGCUGUGAAGUAAUAUUAAAGGAUAAUUUAUAUUUAGUAUUUUUUCGAACGAUGCUGUGAGCGCUGUCAACUUUAUAAUUGCCUAAACUAAUUGUUUUUUAAGAUAUAACAAAUAACAAAUAUUUCAAAGUUUUAAAAAGAAGCAAUUUUUAUCAUGUGCUUCAGAUUUUAAGUCUUUAAGAACAGUUACUGAGUAAACAAUUGCAUGAUCAGAUCAUAUUUACACACAGAAAGAUAUCGUUAACAAAAUUCCCUAAGCAAGACAUCGCGAAAAGUCAAGAUCGACAAUUAUUGUUUUCUGCUUUAUACCACUAUUUUUUUUGCUUAUAUAUCAAACUUCUGUUUAAUCCACAAUCGACACAAAAGUUAAAGAUAAAUGGCAACUCAAGCUGAAAAGCUAUUUUUGCCAUUAAAAAUUGUCAAAAACAUUUUGCUUUGGUUAUGUUUAUAAUUGUUCAGAAUAUUUGACACUUUGAUUAAACAAAUAAGGAGUAAUGGGUCCCAGAUUUGGGAAUAUGAAUUUAGUCCUAAUAUAAAAUAAACACAAACUGUAUUUAUGCAGGAAUUUUCUUGUGUGUAAAUUUAUGUCCUUAUGCAUUUUUUUUUCGAGAGUCUGUAAGAUUGCCAUCGUGUAUUUUUUUCUUAUUGAAUGAGAUAUCUAAAAAGGCUUUGUAAGUAUCACUUGAAUACAUAUUGAUAUUUUAAGAAGUUGACGACGCAUAUAUUUCUUAAGAACAGGCACGAAUCCAUUAACAUUUUAUGAUAAAAGACAUUUAACAUAAAUGUUAUCUUUAAUUUAUACCCUUCAAACAAAGAAUAGCUUUUUGAAAUUUUCGAUAUUCAAAUAAUCAAUUACGAGUUAGACACUCAGAUCUGAGAUAUGAUAAGACAGCAGUCGGUAAUAAAGAUUAAGAGCAAUACACAGAAGUUGUGUACUAUAAAGAUUGGAACGCAUAAUAAUAGACCCUAGACGGGGUUUCAUACCAUUCUAAUUUGGAUUCUAAUUGCACAUAUAUAUGCCUUCUUUUCUCUUAUGUAAUCAAACCAUUCAGAAACAUUACACAUAUUCGAAUAUUAUGUAUCGAACAUUAAUAGUUAAAGGGAAGUAAUCAUGUUUACUAUUUAUUAUAUGCUUGAAUGAAUGCAUUCCCGUGUCACAACUUACCCUGUACUUAUGCUGAAUGCUAUGUAUUUAGGACCGGUUACCAUCUUUUGCAAAUUUACUAAUUGACUUGACUUAACUCUUAUGAAUCCAUUAUUUAAGGUGGCAUCUUUUUAUCGAUAUAUUAAUAUACACAUUGUGUCCAUUUAUAAAGCUUUUAAAAAGAUUUGUUUUUAUCUAUGUUUCAAAAUGGUAGCUUUUAUGUGUAAUAAUGUAUCGAUGUUAACGCUUUCUUGUGUGUUGCAUGUUGGCUUGUCUCUUAAUCUUAAUAACUCAGAGAACGCUGAGGUUGUAUCUGUGUUGCCCAUUGCAAAUUUAAAAAAACAAAACAUUGCGGAGCGAACGCCAUCCCUCGUCUGUUUAUUUUGUUUCGAAAAAGGACAUUACUCACAAGUUAUUAAAGUUAAAGUUGUGGGCCUUGAUAUCCAUUUGUGUAUUGCCUUUGGCAACACUGGUACCAAGUGUCAUCAUCAUCAUCACAUUCUUCGACAAUAUUAAAGAAUUAUACUUGACUUCUGUUGCGAAGAAGUUUACUGUUUAAAUGACUUGGUAUCUUUUUAUAACGACUUGGUAUCUCUUUAAAAUAUUCAAACACGUAACAACGGUUUAAUGCACGCCUUUAGUUGCCACACCCCUUCCUAAAUCCCAAGUGGCCCCUCUUACGUCUCCUGGGUAAAUAAUAUAACAUAUACUUCGAUAGAAAAAAACAUAUUUGGGACUGAAUGGGGAAGGAGGAUUAACCCUCAUAUCUAGAUUACAUAAUUUCUUCAGAGCCACAACAUUUGACUAUCUGGUAUGAGGUAAAGCAAUGGCUUACUAGUCUAAGGUAGAGCCAUAAUAUUUGGCUACCUGGUCUGAGGUAAAGCCGCAUUAUUUGGCUACCUGGUCUGAGGUAGAUCCACAGCAAUUGGCUACAUAUUCUGAGGUUGAGUCACAACAUUUGGCUACCUGGUCUAAGGAAGAGCCACAACAUUUGGCUACUAAAUCUGAAGUAGAGCCACAGCAUUUGGAUACCUAGUCUGAGGUAGAGUCACAACAUUGGGGUACCUUGUAUGAGGUAGAGUCAAACAUGUGGCUAUCUGGUCUGAGCUAGAGCCUUAGCAUUUGGCUAUCUGGUCUGAGGUAGAGUCACAACUUUCGGAUACCAAGUCUGAGGUAGAGCCACAACAUUUGGCUACCUGGUCCGAGGUAGAGCUACAACAUUUGACUAUCUGGUCUGAUGUAAAGCCACAACAAUUGGCUACUUAGUCUAAGGUAGAGCCACAACAUUUUGCUACCUGGUCUGAGGUAGAGUCACAACAUGUGGCUACCUGGUCUGAGGUAGAGCCACAACAUUUGGCUACCUGGUCUGAGGUAGAGCCGCAACAUUUGGCUACCUGGUCUGAGGUAGAGUCACAACAUUUGACUAUCUGGUCUAAGGAAGAGCAACAACAUUUGGCCACCUGGUCUGAGGUUGAGCUUCAGCACUUGCCUAUUUGAUACUCGCAUUUUUAAUUAUUGGCUACAUAAGGCAUACUAUUACAAGUAAUUAUGUCAUAAGUAAUUUCUUUACACACUUAUAAUCCGCUUUAAAGAGCGACAAAAGCGAGAAAUGAUAUACGCCUUUUUCCCGAUAUCCUUUGUCAACUUUUCAUGUGUAACUGCCGCCGUAGAUCGUACGAUUGUACGUAUAUUUUGUACGUCCUAAAAUGCUAAAUUGAAAUAAAUAUUGUUUAAACCAAGCUAUCAAGGAAUGUAAAUCUGUUUGAAUUGUUUAAGAAUGCGAAAAUGGAGUUGUCUUUUUCAGUCAACAACGUAAUUUUGUCUCUACAUUUCAUAUUAUUGUAAUAUAUUGUUUGUAUUAUUAUGUAUUUGCAUUAUUAUUAGUAUCGAAUUUUGCUUAAUAAGAAUAAAAUAUGUCCGCGUUG